AAGAACAACCGGGAUUGCCUCAGUAACGGCGAGUGAAGCGGCAAGAGCUCAAAUUUGAAAUCUGGCCCUUUCAGGGUCCGAGUUGUAAUUUGCAGAGGAUGCUUCGGGUGCGGUCCCCAUCUAAGUGCCCUGGAACGGGCCGUCAUAGAGGGUGAGAAUCCCGUCUGGGAUGGGCGGCCGUGCCCGUGUGAAGCUCCUUCGACGAGUCGAGUUGUUUGGGAAUGCAGCUCUAAGUGGGUGGUAAAUUUCAUCUAAAGCUAAAUACUGGCCGGAGACCGAUAGCGCACAAGUAGAGUGAUCGAAAGAUGAAAAGCACUUUGAAAAGAGAGUUAAACAGCACGUGAAAUUGUUGAAAGGGAAGCGUUGUCCACCAGACUCGCCCGGGGGGGUUCAGCCGGCACGUGUGCCGGUGUACUCCUCUCCGGGCGGGCCAGCAUCGGUUUGGGCGGCUGGUGAAAGGCCCCGGGAAUGUAGCACCCUUCGGGGUGCCUUAUAGCCCGGGGUGCCAUACAGCCAGCCUGGACCGAGGCCCGCGCUUCGGCGAGGAUGCUGGCGUAAUGGUGGUCAACGGCCCGUCUUGAAACACGGACCAAGGAGUCUAACAUCUAUGCGAGUGUUCGGGUGUCAAACCCGUCCGCGCAGUGAAAGCGAACGGAGGUGGGAGCCUUUCGGGGCGCACCAUCGACCGAUCCUGAAGUCU
rnacentral:rRNA from 1 species